CGAGAGGAACAGGCGACCGCUGCGGGGCCCGCAAGGGACCCGUGGAGGAAAGUCCGAACUCCUCAGGGCAGGGUGCUGGAUAACGUCCAGGGGCCGCGAGGCCACGGAAAGUGCAACAGAGAACAGACCGCCUCGCGCGGGCGCCCUUCGGGGCGGUCGCGCGCGGUAAGGGUGAAACGGUGCGGUAAGAGCGCACCAGCAACGCGGGCAACCGCGUUGGCUCGGCAAACCCCACCCGGAGAAAGACCACGUAGGGGAGGAUGAGCCGGCCCGGCUCGCUAGGACUCCCGGGUAGGUCGUUCGAGGACGACAGUGAUGUCGUUCCCAGAGAAAUGGCCGCCGCCCGAAAGGGCACAGAAUUCGGCUUACGGUCCUCUCGGGAG
rnacentral:RNase_P_RNA from 1 species